UCCAGUCGCUAGCUGAGAUCUGCUGGGCUUCUCGGGGUUUGGUAUCUUGAUGCAGCUGUCUGGGUUGGCAGGUGACGACCUUUGUUUGGAAACGAGGCUUUGCUAGUCACAUGGAAUAGAAUGAAGACAGCCACAGACUGUGAGCAUUAACCGAAAACUCUUGAUCAAACAGGAGAUCUGAUUGUCCAUCACAGGAAGAAAUCGUAGCCGUUGGUUUACAGGGGUGAUUCUUCGUUUAGAAUUCCUUUACAUAAAACGGUCUCAGAAUCGAAGUUUCCGGGAAAUAAAGGGUUCUAACAGUCCGAGUAAAAUGAAAGAAAGUGGGUCUCUGUUGUAACUGUCCCCAGAGCUAUUUGGCACGGACACAAAGCUUUGAGACCAGUAAAGUUGUCUGUCCCCUUUGGAGAUCUGGUCUGCGGUGCCUGGGUGAGCGGAGCCGGAGAGGCGCUUGGCCCAGCUCCUGCUGACUUCAUACCCCAUGCCAGUCGGAGAGGACUUGUUGGAUUGUAUUUGGUGCCAAGGACUGGGUGGGAAAGGGGAAGAAAAUUCAAGCAAAAGAAGGGGGUGAGGUGCCCGAAGACAGGCUUUUGCAGGGUUCUUUAAGUGCCAUCAGCUGUAGUGAAGACGCAAAAAUUUCUACAGCAGUUGUAGCCCUUCUGGAGCAAUGGCUUAACAAACUUAACAUGGUGAUAUUAUCACCUCUACUCAGUGGACAAAAGACUUCACUGUUUAACAGAAUAAAGCCUUUCUUCUUCCA